UAGAGGGGGGGUGAAUAGGCUCACUUCAAAAAUUUUCAGAAAAACUUCGCAGUGGUAUUAGAUACGUUGGAACUUCCGACGGAUCAGAACUUCCAGUACAGGUGUGAAACUUCCAACGGGAGGAAAUGAGCUGAAUGAAAUUCAAAAUAAAACUUGAAUCUACCAAUUCUAUUUGAAUCAAAAGAUUAUAAAUGAUAAGUAGAGACUACUACAGGUGAUAGAUAUGCAAGGAACUUCACAAAUUUAUAGAUCGGCUCAAAUCAAGCUUCUUGGUUAAAAUGAACUCGAGGAAUACAACAAGCACACGAGACAAAGGAUUUUUCUACCGAAGUACACUUCCACAAAGGAAGCUACGUCUCCAUUGAGGAGCUCACAAAGAGCUGGGUCCUCACUAACCCUUUA
rnacentral:lncRNA from 1 species